AUUGAACGCUGGCGGCAUGCUUUACACAUGCAAGUCGAACGGUAACAGGCCUUCGGGUGCUGACGAGUGGCGAACGGGUGAGUAAUGCAUCGGAACGUGCCCAAUCGUGGGGGAUAACGUAGCGAAAGUUACGCUAAUACCGCAUAAGCCCUGAGGGGGAAAGUGGGGGACCGCAAGGCCUCACGUUAUACGAGCGGCCGAUGUCGGAUUAGCUAGUUGGUGGGGUAAAGGCCUACCAAGGCGACGAUCCGUAGCGGGUCUGAGAGGAUGAUCCGCCACACUGGGACUGAGACACGGCCCAGACUCCUACGGGAGGCAGCAGUGGGGAAUUUUGGACAAUGGGCGGAAGCCUGAUCCAGCCAUGCCGCGUGAGUGAAGAAGGCCUCGG
rnacentral:rRNA from 1 species